rnacentral:rRNA from 1 species
UUAUUUGAGAGUUUGAUCCUGGCUCAGGAUGAACGCUGGCGGCGUGCCUAACACAUGCAAGUUGAGCGAUUUACUUCGGUAAAGAGCGGCGGACGGGUGAGUAACGCGUGGGUAACCUACCCUGUACACACGGAUAACAUACCGAAAGGUAUGCUAAUACGGGAUAACAUAUUUGAGAGGCAUCUCUUGAAUAUCAAAGGUGAGCCAGUACAGGAUGGACCCGCGUCUGAUUAGCUAGUUGGUAAGGUAACGGCUUACCAAGGCGACGAUCAGUAGCCGACCUGAGAGGGUGAUCGGCCACAUUGGAACUGAGACACGGUCCAAACUCCUACGGGAGGCAGCAGUGGGGAAUAUUGCACAAUGGGCGAAAGCCUGAUGCAGCAACGCCGCGUGAGUGAUGAAGGCCUUCGGGUCGUAAAACUCUGUCCUCAAGGAAGAUAAUGACGGUACUUGAGGAGGAAGCCCCGGCUAACUACGUGCCAGCAGCCGCGGUAAUACGUAGGGGGCUAGCGUUAUCCGGAUUUACUGGGCGUAAAGGGUGCGUAGGCGGUCUUUCAAGUCAGGAGUGAAAGGCUACGGCUCAACCGUAGUAAGCUCUUGAAACUGGGAGACUUGAGUGCAGGAGAGGAGAGUGGAAUUCCUAGUGUAGCGGUGAAAUGCGUAGAUAUUAGGAGGAACACCAGUUGCGAAGGCGGCUCUCUGGACUGUAACUGACGCUGAGGCACGAAAGCGUGGGGAGCAAACAGGAUUAGAUACCCUGGUAGUCCACGCUGUAAACGAUGAGUACUAGGUGUCGGGGGUUACCCCC